UCCAUCAAACCUGAAUCUGACUGUCUCUUCCAGGUAAGUCAUUAGGAAAGGAGUUCCUCCUUGCCAUCAACUAAUGCACCAUUCCUUCACAGGCCAAACUGGCUACAGAACAAGGACCCCAUGAGGGGAAUGGGACAGUUAACAGAACUCAGGAGAAUAGUACUCUGCCUUUAGACCCCUGAAGACAGCAGCAGAUGUGGAUCUGAACUGUACUUCGGGAAUCUUUCUAAAACUGCUUGCUUUCCUGCCUCCAGACGGGCGCUGCGAAGUGCUGGGUGCCGACAGCGCAGGGGAAACGCACAAGACCCUGCAGGACUGAGUCCUUUUUCCUGGGAGAUCUUUCAUUCCGCUCCAACCUGCUUGGAUUCUGUUGUGGGUGCUAUUACGGCAGUGAUUCCUCAACAGGAGGCCUGGAAACGAUUUCCUGCACACAGAGACUUCCAGGAGCUCUGUGAUCCUGCUAUGUUAUAGUGCUAGCACCUGACAUAAAUUAGAUCACAAGGUGACUUGGUCCUGCGAUCUGGAUUUUGGGGGAUGGGAAUAAAACAUCAGUUUCUAGAGAGUCUUCUAGAGAAUGCACCAGAGAAGGGCUUAAAGAAAAUAAAAUCCCCCAAACAGUGGCUGAAAGCUGAAGCCAGACAAAUUUAGGUUAGAAAUGAGACAUACAUGUUAAAUCUUUGUGUUUAUAACUGACCUUUGAAACAACAUAGAUGGUGAAAUACUUGGUUCUCCAUCUCUGAAUGUCUUGCAGAGAUGCAAGUAAAGUGCUCGCAGAUGGGACUGUUCUGUUUCUGGUGCCCAAGCUGGCUUGUCCAGGGUUAGUGUGGCUCUUGCUUCCCUGGAGUAAGAUCACAGAGCCAUAUAACAGUGGUGAGUGCUGAGGGAAGCAGAGGAAGGGAGAGGUCAUGUGAUUGAACUUCUGGAUCCCAACACAUGGCUGUAGUUUUCAUCUGGAGUCAUCACAGAAAGUGGGGUUCAGAAGUUAUCUUCCCUUUUCAAGAUCUGCAUGGAAAACACAAGGCGCCCCUGUAGCCUCUUGGAGGGGCUUGGCCAUGUGCACCUUUUAAACUCAGGCUGGAGUGAGAAAACGCUUUUUCUCCAUCCCCAUCCUAGGAGCUUACCUGGUAUACAAAAGGAGAGCAGCAUCCCCUGUUUUAUGGGCGAAGGCUUCCUGCUGUGUAAAUUCCUUAGGGGGCGUGGGCCUUUGACUGAGGGGCCGCAACAUCGUUUGACACAAGAGGGCUUAUAUUAGAGCUGGGUGUAUAUUUUUUUCCAUACAAAAGAUGAAAAGAAAUAAAAUACCUCCAAUUUA